AGCGUACACGGUGGAUGCCCUGGCAGUCAGAGGCGAUGAAGGACGUGCUAAUCUGCGAAAAGCGUCGGUAAGGUGAUAUGAACCGUUACAGCCGGCGAUGUCCGAAUGGGGAAACCCAGUGCAAUUCGUUGCACUAUCGUUAACUGAAUACAUAGGUUAACGAGGCGAACCGGGGGAACUGAAACAUCUAAGUACCCCGAGGAAAAGAAAUCAACCGAGAUUCCCCCAGUAGCGGCGAGCGAACGGGGAGCAGCCCGGAGUCUGAAUCAGCUUGUGUGUUAGUGGAAGCGUCUGGAAAGUCGCAGGGUACAGGGUGAUACUCCCGUACACUAAAACACACAGGUUGUGAACUCGAAGAGUAGGGCGGGACACGUGGUAUCCUGUCUGAAUAUGGGGGGACCAUCCUCCAAGGCUAAAUACUCCUGACUGACCGAUAGUGAACCAGUACCGUGAGGGAAAGGCGAAAAGAACCCCGGCGAGGGGAGUGAAAAAGAACCUGAAACCGUGUACGUACAAGCAGUAGGAGCCCACUAGUUGGGUGACUGCGUACCUUUUGUAUAAUGGGUCAGCGACUUAUAUUCUGUAGCAAGGUUAACCGAAUAGGGGAGCCGCAGGGAAACCGAGUCUUAACUGGGCGUUAAGUUGCAGGGUAUAGACCCGAAACCCGGUGAUCUAGCCAUGGGCAGGUUGAAGGUUGGGUAACACUAACUGGAGGACCGAACCGACUAAUGUUGAAAAAUUAGCGGAUGACUUGUGGCUGGGGGUGAAAGGCCAAUCAAACCGGGAGAUAGCUGGUUCUCCCCGAAAGCUAUUUAGGUAGCGCCUCGUGAACUCAUCUUCGGGGGUAGAGCACUGUUUCGGCUAGGGGGUCAUCCCGACUUACCAACCCGAUGCAAACUACGAAUACCGAAGAAUGUUAUCACGGGAGACACACGGCGGGUGCUAACGUCCGUCGUGAAGAGGGAAACAACCCAGACCGCCAGCUAAGGUCCCAAAGUCAUGGUUAAGUGGGAAACGAUGUGGGAAGGCCCAGACAGCCAGGAUGUUGGCUUAGAAGCAGCCAUCAUUUAAAGAAAGCGUAAUAGCUCACUGGUCGAGUCGGCCUGCGCGGAAGAUGUAACGGGGCUAAACCAUGCACCGAAGCUGCGGCAGCGACGCUUAUGCGUUGUUGGGUAGGGGAGCGUUCUGUAAGCCGUUGAAGGUGGCCUGUGAGGGUUGCUGGAGGUAUCAGAAGUGCGAAUGCUGACAUAAGUAACGAUAAUGCGGGUGAAAAACCCGCACGCCGGAAGACCAAGGGUUCCUGUCCAACGUUAAUCGGGGCAGGGUGAGUCGACCCCUAAGGCGAGGCCGAAAGGCGUAGUCGAUGGGAAACAGGUUAAUAUUCCUGUACUUGGUGUUACUGCGAAGGGGGGACGGAGAAGGCUAUGUUGGCCGGGCGACGGUUGUCCCGGUUUAAGCAUGUAGGCGGAUGUUCCAGGUAAAUCCGGAACGUUAUUAACGCUGAGGUGUGAUGACGAGGCACUACGGUGCUGAAGUGACAAAUGCCCUGCUUCCAGGAAAAGCCUCUAAGCAUCAGGUAACAUCAAAUCGUACCCCAAACCGACACAGGUGGUCAGGUAGAGAAUACCAAGGCGCUUGAGAGAACUCGGGUGAAGGAACUAGGCAAAAUGGUGCCGUAACUUCGGGAGAAGGCACGCUGAUGGUAAGUGAAGUGACUUGCUCAUGGAGCUGAAAUCAGUCGAAGAUACCAGCUGGCUGCAACUGUUUAUUAAAAACACAGCACUGUGCAAACACGAAAGUGGACGUAUACGGUGUGACGCCUGCCCGGUGCCGGAAGGUUAAUUGAUGGGGUUAUCCUCGCGGAGAAGCUCUUGAUCGAAGCCCCGGUAAACGGCGGCCGUAACUAUAACGGUCCUAAGGUAGCGAAAUUCCUUGUCGGGUAAGUUCCGACCUGCACGAAUGGCGUAAUGAUGGCCAGGCUGUCUCCACCCGAGACUCAGUGAAAUUGAACUCGCUGUGAAGAUGCAGUGUACCCGCGGCAAGACGGAAAGACCCCGUGAACCUUUACUAUAGCUUGACACUGAACACUGGUCCUUGAUGUGUAGGAUAGGUGGGAGGCUUUGAAGUGUGGACGCCAGUCUGCAUGGAGCCGUCCUUGAAAUACCACCCUUUAAUGGCUGGUGUUCUAACGUNGGGUUGCGGACAGUGUCUGGUGGGUAGUUUGACUGGGGCGGUCUCCUCCUAAAGAGUAACGGAGGAGCACGAAGGUCAGCUAAUCCUGGUCGGACAUCAGGAGGUUAGUGCAAUGGCAUAAGCUGGCUUGACUGCGAGCGUGACGGCGCGAGCAGGUGCGAAAGCAGGUCAUAGUGAUCCGGUGGUUCUGAAUGGAAGGGCCAUCGCUCAACGGAUAAAAGGUACUCCGGGGAUAACAGGCUGAUACCGCCCAAGAGUUCAUAUCGACGGCGGUGUUUGGCACCUCGAUGUCGGCUCAUCACAUCCUGGGGCUGAAGUAGGUCCCAAGGGUAUGGCUGUUCGCCAUUUAAAGUGGUACGCGAGCUGGGUUUAGAACGUCGUGAGACAGUUCGGUCCCUAUCUGCCGUGGGCGCUGGAGAAUUGAGGGGGGCUGCUCCUAGUACGAGAGGACCGGAGUGGACGCAUCACUGGUGUUCGGGUUGUCAUGCCAAUGGCAUUGCCCGGUAGCUAAAUGCGGAAGAGAUAAGUGCUGAAAGCAUCUAAGCACGAAACUUGCCCCGAGAUGAGUUCU
rnacentral:rRNA from 1 species